rnacentral:rRNA from 1 species
CCUACGGGAGGCAGCAGUGAGGAAUAUUGGUCAAUGGACGAGAGUCUGAACCAGCCAAGUAGCGUGAAGGAUGACUGCCCUAUGGGUUGUAAACUUCUUUUAUAAAGGAAUAAAACGAGGCACGUGUGCCUUUUUGCAUGUACUUUAUGAAUAAGGAUCGGCUAAAUCCGUACCAGCAGCCGCGGUAAUACGGAGGAUCCGAGCGUUAUCCGGAUUUAUUGGGUUUCAAGGGAGCUUAGAUGGGUUGUUAAGUCAGUUGUGAAAGUUUGCGGCUAAACCGUAAAAUUGCAAUUGAUACUGGCAGUCGUGAGUACAGUUGAGGUAGGCGGAAUUCGUGGUGUAGCGGUGAAAUGCUUAGAUAUCACGAAGAACCCCGAUUGCGAAGGAAGCUUACUAAACUGUGACUGACAUUGAUGCUCGAAAGUGUGGGUAUCAAACAGGAUUAGAUACCCUGGUAGUC